rnacentral:rRNA from 1 species
GGUUCGAUCCUGGCUCAGAUUGAACGCUGGCAGGAUGCUUUACACAUACAAUCGACAGCACGGACUUCGGUCUGGUGGCAGUGGCGAACGGGUGAGUAAUGUAUCGGAACGUGCCUAGUAGCGGGGGAUAACUACGCGAAAGCGUAGCUAAUACCGCAUACGCCCUUCAAGGGAAAAGCAGGGGACCUUCGGGCCUCGCACUAUUAGAGCGGCCGAUAUCGGAUUAGCUGGUUGGUGGGGUAACGGCUCACCAAGGCGACGAUCCGUAGCGCUGGUUUGAGAGAGGACGACCAGCCACACUGGGACGAAACACAGCCCAGGCUCCCUGGGAAGGCGGCAGUGAGGGUACGACAAUAGGGAAACCUGAUCCAGCCAUCCCGCGUGUGCGAUGAAGGCCUUCGGGUUGUAAAGCACUUUUGGCAAGGAAAGAAACGGCACGGGAUAAUACCCCGUGCAACUGACAGUACCUGCAGAAUAAGCACCGGCUAACUACGUGCCAGCAGCCGCGGUAAUACGUAGGAGGUGCAAAGAAAGCGUUAAUCGGAAUUACUGGGCGUAAAGCGUGCGCAGGCGGUUCGGAAAGAAAGAUGUGAAAUCCCAGAGCUUAACCUGGAACUGCAUUUUUAACUACCGAGUAGAGUGUGUCAGAGGAGAGUGGAAUUCCCACGCGUGUAGCAGUGAAAUGCGUAGAUAUGCGGAGGAACACCGAUGGCGAAGGCAGCCUCCUGGGAUAACACUGACGCUCAUGCACGAAAAGCGUGGGGAGCAAACAGGAUUAGAUACCCUGGCAGUCCGCCUAAACAGUGUCAACUGGCUUCUAUUUGGGGCCUUCGGGCCUUGGUAGCGCAGCUAACGCGUAAGUUAGCCGCCUGGGGAGAUACGGUCGCAAGAUUAAAACUCAAAAUUGACGAGGACCCGCACAAGCGGUGGAUGAUGUGGAUUAAUUCGAUGCAACGCGAAAAACUGCCUACCCUUGACGCUGUCUGGAAUCCCGGGUUACAGGAGUACUGCAAGAAGAACCGGAACUGAGUGCUGCAUGUGGCGCAGCUAAGUAGCUCGUGUCGUGAAGAUGUUGGGUUAGAAUCUGGAAAGCAACCCUUGUCGUGAGUUGCUACGAAGGGCACUCUAAUGGACAUACCGGUGAUAACCGGAGGAAGGUGGGGAUGACGUCAAGUCCUCAUGGCCUUUCAUGGGUAGAACUUCUACACACGUCAUACAAUGGUCGGGACAGAGGGUCGCCAGCCCGCGAGAGAGCCAAUCCCAAGAAACCCGAUCGUAGUCCGGAUCGCAGGAUACAGCUCGACUUGCGUGAAGUCAGAAUCGCUAGUAAUCGCGGAUCGGCGCCGCCGCGGUGAAUACGUUCCAGGUCUUGUACACACCGCCCGUCACACCAUGGUGGUUUUACCCAGAAGUAGUUAGCCUAACCGUAAGGAGGGCGAUUACCACAGUAGGAUUCAUGACUGGGGGUGAAGAAAGUCGUAACAAGGUAA